GGACGCACUUUUAGUUAGGCAGUGUCCGGAAUCGUCCACACUCUUCUGGUUGCGCCGUUACCUGUUACGGGUCAAGUGGAAGAUGGAGCACUUUACCCUUGUGGCUGUUCUGGCAGUUUUCUUCACUUUUAUCGCAGGAGCCGAAGCAAAUCCAUUCGUUUAUAACUAUGAGCGGCUAAGAAUCAUAGGACUGAUCUGCUCAGGCAUCCUGGUAGCUGGAGGAUUAUCCGUUUUACUCUAUAAUCGGUGUACCAAGAAGAACGUCAAAGAAGUAGACGACAACAGUGACAUCUGAUAUCGUACGUGAUAAACUGGUUUUGCAGGAAAAGACGUUCAACAGGCGGAGCAACAUGAGAUUCAAGGUCUAGUAAAAAUAAACAGUGGAUUUGGCAACUGAGAAUGCUGCAGCAGGUUGUGGAGCAUCUGAAAUAAUCUGAAGAUUUGCAGUGUUUGAGAGGGCCCUGAUAAAAGCCCUUUAAUCCUCCAUUGUCUUUUGGAUUGACAAAACACAACCUGAGCAAAUUUGUAUAGAAGAAAGUAAAACAAAUCUGUAAACAAUGUGUACUGCUGCAAUGGUGUGCUCACAUGUGAUGUUUUGUCAGUACUACAUGAAUGGCCGUAUCCCUACGUAUGUCAAUCAUGAAGCAAUUGGGUGAGGAAACAGGUCCAAAAUAAAUAGAAUGAUUCAAACACAAUCAUCCGGUGUUUCCACUGCCACUUUGCUAUCAUUUAUUUCCUCUCACGUUGGAUUUGUUUCCACGUUUCUGUGAUAGGUUCAUGUACAUAUGUGACUCAUACAUACUUUCUCAACACAACAAAGAAACAUCAACAAAACAAAAGACAGAAGACUCUACAGUUUGUGCUCUUUUUUUUAUUUUAAAUGUACUUUAAUUUAUGAGAGCUUGUCAUGGUAAAAACAGGUUUUUAAUCUAUGUCUUGUGUGACUG